GACGAACGCUGGCGGCGUGCUUAACACAUGCAAGUCGAACGGAAAGGCCCUGCUUUUGUGGGGUGCCCGAGUGGCGAACGGGUGAGUAACACGUGAGUAACCUGCCCUUGACUUUGGGAUAACUUCAGGAAACUGGGGCUAAUACCGGAUAGGAGCUCCUGCUGCAUGGUGGGGGUUGGAAAGUUUCGGCGGUUGGGGAUGGACUCGCGGCUUAUCAGCUUGUUGGUGGGGUAGUGGCUUACCAAGGCUUUGACGGGUAGCCGGCCUGAGAGGGUGACCGGCCACAUUGGGACUGAGCUACGGCCCAGACUCCUACGGGAGGCAGCAGUGGGGAAUAUUGCACAAUGGGCGGAAGCCUGAUGCAGCAACGCCGCGUGCGGGAUGACGGCCUUCGGGUUGUAAACCGCUUUCGCCUGUGACGAAGCGUGAGUGACGGUAAUGGGUAAAGAAGCACCGGCUAACUACGUG
rnacentral:rRNA from 1 species